UUAGUUUAAAUCAUUGUGGGUCUACACUUUGAAAAUUUAACCUACACAAAACGGUGGAACAUAUAUUGAUUUCAUUCAA
rnacentral:pre_miRNA from 1 species